rnacentral:rRNA from 1 species
AAUGAACGCUGGCGGCAUGCCUAACACAUGCAAGUCGAACGAAGGCUUGGGCCUCAGUGGCGCACGGGUGCGUGACGCGUGGGGAACUGCCCAUUGCUUCGGAAUAACAGGUAGAAUAGACCGGUAAUACCGGAUGAUGUCGUACGACCAAAGAUCUAUCGAAAACGGAUGAGCCCGCGUAAGAUGAGCUAGUUGGGGGGGUAAUGGCCUACCAAGGCGACGAUCUUUAACGGGUCUGAGAGGAUGAUCAGUCACACUGGGACUGAGACACGGUCCAGACUCCUACGGGAGGCAGCAGUAGGGAAUAUUGCGCAAUGGAGGAAGCUCUGACGCAGCGACGCCGCGUGAGUGAUGAAGGACUUCGGUUCGUAAAGCUCUGUUGCAAGGGAGAAAGAAAGUGAUUGUACCUUGUGAGGAAGGGUCGGCUAACUUCGUGCCAGCCGCCGCCGUAACAC